GGAUUGUUAGUUUAUUGUUUAGAAUCCUGUUUUUGUAAAACAGGGGUACUCUAGGGGGUAUAGUCCA
rnacentral:tRNA from 1 species